AGCGAACGCUGGCGGCAGGCCUAACACAUGCAAGUCGAACGGACUCUUCGGAGUUAGUGGCGGACGGGUGAGUAACACGUGGGAACGUGCCUUUAGGUUCGGAAUAGCUCCUGGAAACGGGUGGUAAUGCCGAAUGUGCCCUUCGGGGGAAAGAUUUAUCGCCUUUAGAGCGGCCCGCGUCUGAUUAGCUAGUUGGUGAG
rnacentral:rRNA from 1 species